CUUCUGUGGGGUAAGGUUGCACGGUAAUGAUAAAAUUUACGUACUCAGUCCACAUACUGUGAGCUGAAGUGAGAGCAUCGGUUACUUUGUUGUUUACCUUUCUUGUGCAAUCAAAUAGCAUCUCCAUGAAACACAUUACAAUAAAAUAAAAAGAAAACCGCUGGGACUGCUAACGCGUUUGACACAAGAGGCUACCAGCCAUAUUGGAUUCGGACCAUUCAGUACAGUUGAACGCUGUCGCCUACGAAGUAAAGUCUUUUCGGUGAAAGUUCUCAUUGGGUUUCCGGACAAAGGAACAUAUUAAUGCCUACUAAUACGUAAUUUGCUAUAACUCGGUAGUCGAUUACAUGGUAUGGAUUUACAAAAAAUAAUGGAGAUUUGGCACAGCGGGUAACUAUCUCUUUUUAAAGGUAGAUGGCAGCACGAGCCACUCAGUGAGUCUCUUGCAUUCCACGGCCACGUUCCCCAACCCUUUUCUGUGUACACGCACUUGGAACUGAUUAAUUUUGCCUUGCUGAUGACGAACAGAUAGAAAAAUAAGAAAGGCUGGAAGUUACCGACAUUGCUGAACAACGGAACCUGGCUGAGAUUCUCCAUGGAAGAAUUUAAAGUCAAAUGCCUGGAUAGAUCAGCUGCACCUUCCAGACUGUUUGUCGCUGCAGACUGCUGCAGUGGAGCAAUGACCAACAACACCGUCCACGGAAUAAGCACCAUUAUCAGGGAGAGAGCUUACUUCACAAAUUUCUCCUGGGGUAAUAAGAAUAUCCCAGUACUUCCUCUGCCUUUUGACAAAAAGGUAGCCCAGCAGCUGAUACGUUUAUCUACCAUGGACCGGCCUUACCCCCGCUUACUAUGUCGCCGAGGACCUUCGUUACUAUAUCCUGUUAGCUACGACUUUCGUGAUGGUGGCGAUUAUGAUCGCUGUGAAUGUAUUCGUUUGGUGUAGGAUGAAGAGAACAAGAAUGGCUCACCAACAGAAUGUCAGAGCUCGUCCGAACAAUCUUCCACGUGCCCUCAAGGUAUUUGAUGUACAGGUCACAAGAAACCGGCCAUUUUAUUUGGCACGUGGUGGUUUGUUUGGAAUUGUGAAAUGGGCGAAAAGUUGAUCAGGUCAUUAGCUAAUUGUGAAGUCAAGAACCUCAUUGACAAUGCAUUCCAUUUGUAAAAGUACCUGAAUACAAAGUAAUCAGCACACACUUACCUAUAUCAGUGUGCAUCUAAGUGAAGCAUAUAGAAUUUAAACAAUGAAUUAAUAUAUCUGUGUGUAUGCACUAGGAAUCUAUAUAAACUGCACAUAUUUUAAUCAAAUUUAUUUGAAUCAGUAAUUUGAAUCAAUAAAUACAUGCAUACAUAUAUCAGGUUACCUAUAGUAUAUUACCUAUGAGGUGAUACCUAUUAUCUUAUAUCUUAUCACAUUUUGGUACCAUUAACUUUUAUCAAAAUAUGAUUUUUAUCAAUAUAUAAUCUUUGUGUGUCAUGUAACCAUCAGAAAUACGUUAGUAUUUUUGUUGAAUAUAUAUCUUCAUGAUUUGCUUUUAUAUAAAUGUAUCAAUAAAUCACACAUAUAACCCUUGGUAUUUAGUCAAAAUCAUAGGCAUAUGUCUUGUACGUGGAUCUAUAUCUAUAUACUCUAUGUAUCUUUUAUUUAUAGUAUAUUCAUUUAUAUAUAUAUAUGAUUUUUACAUAUAACCAGUCCAAUAUAAUUUUCUUAAUCAUUCUGUUUUGGUAGUUAUAUGUUUACCAUAACUUGUGUUAUCUAUAUCUGAAAUAACACUUGCACACAUGCUGUGGUAAGGCAAUCUUUCCGACCUGACUGUUCUUUUAUAUUGGAUUUUGUUAUUGUGACCGAGCGAUAUCGGAGGAAAGUAUGCCCUAAAACCACUGUCCAGGAUGUGUGAGUGUGUGAACCUUACCUAAGGCAAAUGUAUGAAAAACAUCAACAACCUAUAUUCCUUGGGAACCACUCCGGCUCUCACAAGAACGAGAAGGAUGAUAUGUCUUAACCUAGAUAAGGUUCGUAUGCCUGUAUCUUUGAUUAGGUUUGCUCGCCUAUGAUUUGGAAAUGUAUUGUAACUCAAGACUUCCUCUACUCCUCUUGGUUCAAACAUCUAUUCAGAAACCUUCUCUGCAAGCUAUCUCAAGAAGUAAACCUGUUACAGAAAUAUAAGUGUAUUUUUGCUA